GACGAACGCUGGCGGCGUGCCUAAUACAUGCAAGUAGAACGCACAGUUUAUACCGUAGCUUGCUACACCAUAAACUGUGAGUUGCGAACGGGUGAGUAACGCGUAGGUAACCUGCCUGGUAGCGGGGGAUAACUAUUGGAAACGAUAGCUAAUACCGCAUAAUAUUGAUUAUUGCAUGAUAAUUGAUUGAAAGAUGCUAUUGCAUCACUACCAGAUGGACCUGCGUUGUAUUAGCUAGUAGGUGAGGUAACGGCUCACCUAGGCGACGAUAUAUAGCCGACCUGAGAGGGUGAUCGGCCACACUGGGACUGAGACACGGCCCAGACUCCUACGGGAGGCAGCAGUAGGGAAUCUUCGGCAAUGGACGAAAGUCUGACCGAGCAACGCCGCGUGAGUGAAGAAGGUUUUCGGAUCGUAAAGCUCUGUUGUAAGAGAAGAACGGGUGUGAGAGUGGAAAGUUCACACUGUGACGGUAUCUUACCAGAAAGGGACGGCUAACUACGUG
rnacentral:rRNA from 1 species